AUGGGUCCGGAUCAUCCCCAAACAUCUAUAAAACAUCACCAUUUUCUUAUUUGGGCUCCCUACCUAUUUAUUUCUCGACCGUCCGAUUGCGAUCGGAGGGACGAGGUGGCCCCUAACCUAAAUCCAUCUACUAUAAAUAAUGACCCAACCCUAAAUUUGAGGAGAGUUGUCCCAUCGUUCCCUCACCCGCCGCCGCCACACUCCCGCAUCCACCUCAGGAUCCUCCCAGAUCCGAUCCAGCAACCACCUCGUUCUGCGAACCAGCCAACCACUGCUCUCCACUUCUCCUCCUCAAUCCAGAGCUCGCGGCCCCGAUCCAAAUUCUUCUCGGCCUCCACCCGUGCAGCCUCCUCCCUCCUGCUCAUUCCCGAGGGCUUGUCUCGAGCGUCGCCGCAAGCAACAUUAGUCAUCAGAGGCCAGCGCUGCUCCUUUUCUUCGUCCGCAGCCUCAGGAGCCCGAGCUCCAUCAUCUACGCCCAUGUCCGAGCGAGAGGAGCUCGCUGCUCGAGCUCGAGCAUGCAGCCAAGUCCCAUGGCGCCCUCCCGAGGUCCUCCCGUGCGUGCCUCCACUCGUCCUCAUCGCCCUCCUUCUUCAUCGGAGCAUCACCGGACUGGCAGCUCCACCCGCCGCCGGCAAGGGACCCAAGCAGUGA
rnacentral:rRNA from 1 species